rnacentral:rRNA from 1 species
UGGUCAUUGGAGACGAUGACCUUCAGUUCGGCUGGCCCUAGAACAGGUGCUGCAUGGCUGUCGUCAGCUCGGGUCGUGAGAUGUUGGGUUAAGUCCCGCAACGAGCGCAACCCUCGCCCUUAGUUGCCAGCAUUUAGUUGGGCACUCUAAGGGGACUGCCGGUGAUAAGCCGAGAGGAAGGUGGGGAUGACGUCAAGUCCUCAUGGCCCUUACGGGCUGGGCUACACACGUGCUACAAUGGUGGUGACAGUGGGCAGCGAGACAGCGAUGUCGAGCUAAUCUCCAAAAGCCAUCUCAGUUCGGAUUGCACUCUGCAACUCGAGUGCAUGAAGUUGGAAUCGCUAGUAAUCGCAGAUCAGCAUGCUGCGGUGAAUACGUUCCCGGG